AGAUUAAGUUAUUAAGGGCGCACGGUGGAUGCCUUGGCACUAGAAGCCGAUGAAGGACGUUACUAACGACGAUAUGCUUUGGGGAGCUGUAAGUAAGCUUUGAUCCAGAGAUUUCCGAAUGGGGAAACCCAGCAUGAGUUAUGUCAUGUUAUCGAUAUGUGAAUACAUAGCAUAUCAGAAGGCACACCCGGAGAACUGAAACAUCUUAGUACCCGGAGGAAGAGAAAGAAAAUUCGAUUCCCUUAGUAGCGGCGAGCGAAACGGGAAGAGCCCAAACCAAAAAGCUUGCUUGUUGGGGUUGUAGGACACUCUAUACGGAGUUACAAAGGACGACAUUAGACGAAUCAUCUGGAAAGAUGAAUCAAAGAAGGUAAUAAUCCUGUAGUCGAAAAUGUUGUCUCUCUUGAGUGGAUCCUGAGUACGACGGAGCACGUGAAAUUCCGUCGGAAUCUGGGAGGACCAUCUCCUAAGGCUAAAUACUCUCUAGUGACCGAUAGUGAACCAGUACCGUGAGGGAAAGGUGAAAAGCACCCCGGAAGGAGAGUGAAAUAGAACCUGAAACCGUGUGCUUACAAGUAGUCAGAGCCCGUUAAUGGGUGAUGGCGUGCCUUUUGUAGAAUGAACCGGCGAGUUACGAUUUGAUGCAAGGUUAAGCAGUAAAUGUGGAGCCGUAGCGAAAGCGAGUCUGAAUAGGGCGUUUAGUAUUUGGUCGUAGACCCGAAACCAGGUGAUCUACCCUUGGUCAGGUUGAAGUUCAGGUAACACUGAAUGGAGGACCGAACCGACUUACGUUGAAAAGUGAGCGGAUGAACUGAGGGUAGCGGAGAAAUUCCAAUCGAACCUGGAGAUAGCUGGUUCUCUCCGAAAUAGCUUUAGGGCUAGCCUCAAGUGAUGAUUAUUGGAGGU
rnacentral:rRNA from 1 species